rnacentral:pre_miRNA from 1 species
GUGAGAUGAAAUCAGCGUUUGGACAUGUGAUUUUACGCUGAUUCCAUACCAUGA